rnacentral:rRNA from 1 species
GACGAACGCUGGCGGCAUGCCUAACACAUGCAAGUCGAACGGAGUUCUUUUAUUAGAUCCCUUCGGGGUGAAGAUACUAGAACUUAGUGGCGGACGGGUGAGUAACGCGUGGGUAACCUGCCCUUUGUGGGGAACAACUUCGAGAAAUUGAAGCUAAUACCGCAUACUCUUCUUUAUCGCAUGGUGAGAGAAGGAAAGAUGGCCUCUGAAUAUGCUAUCGCAAAGGGAUGGACCCGCGUCUGAUUAGCUAGUUGGAAGGGUAACGGCCUACCAAGGCGACGAUCAGUAGCCGGCCUGAGAGGGUGAACGGCCACAUUGGGACUGAGACACGGCCCAA